AAACUAAUAACGAGUGUUAACUCAUACAAUCAUCGACUCAAAUUGCUAUCCCUAUAAUAUGUAUUACCUUCAUCCUCCCACUAAUUACCCUUGCUCACCAAUUGUUCAACUCUGAAAAUUUCUACUUACAGGGCCUUGUGAGAGUAACUCUCAACUUUGUGGGACUCCAUUAGGGUGAUGGAGACGAAAAUUGGAUUGAAAUUCGGUGGUAUACAUAGGCAUCCACCAGGAUUUGUUGUGGGGUUUUGGGUUUAUUUUCAUUUCCUGGAUGAAGUGAAGGACAGAGUAUCUUUGCCUUGAAGAAGGCUUGUUUGCAAAGGAAGUUUGUUGGUGAAAGAUAAGAUGGUGAGACUGCUGCCAAUCGGUAAACGAUUUCGAUGUGCUUUGCAUUGAGACCGAGCGGAAAGCACUUCUUAAGUUCAAAGAAGGUCUCAAAGAUCCCUCAGGGCGGCUUUCUUCUUGGGUUGGCGAGGAUUGCUGUGGAUGGUCUGGCGUAGGUUGCAGCACACAGACAGGACAUGUCAUUAAGCUUGAAUUAUCAAGCUUGAGUGGUAAGGUAAACUAUUCUUUGCUUGACUUGAUGCAUUUGAAUUACCUGGAUCUAAGUUCAAGCAACUUCCAAGGAGUUCCUAUUCCCAAAUUCAUUGGUUCAUUGAGCGAGUUGAGUUAUCUUGAUCUUUCUAGUGCAUCGUUUUCAGGACUAGUUCCUCCCCAUCUUGGAAACUCGUCAAACCUGUAUUAUCUUAAUCUAAAUGCAAAUAAUAACACAUGGGUUUCUGAUCUGAAUUGGAUCACUGGACUCUCUCAUUUGCAGUACCUGAAUUUAGGAGAUGUCGACCUUAGUUUGGCAUCAACUACUUGGCUGCGAGCUGUCAAUAUGCUUCCAUCUCUUUCCCAGUUGUACUUGCAUCACUGUAAUUUACUUAACCUCCCUUCUGAUCUGCCAACAGCAAAUUUUAGUUCUGUUCAAGUCCUUAACCUCCAAAACAAUAAUCUCAACACUUCAAUUCCCCAGUGGUUGUUUAAUGUCACUAACCUUAUGGAGCUUAACCUCAUGAAUUGCCAAAUUAAAGGGUCUAUAGUUGGCAAUGGUUGGAGAAGACUUUGCAACUUGCAAGUUCUAGAUCUAUCUUAUAAUGAACUUAGUGGUGAGAUUUUUGAGUUGGUUGGGAACUUGUCAGAAUGUAGUAAUUGCAGCCUAGAGGAGCUAGAUCUGUGGUCUAAUCAACUAAGUGGACAGAUACCUGAGUCAUUGGGACUGUUUAAGUAUUUAAAACACCUGCUUCUGGGGCAGAAUUCUUUUUCAGGUUCAAUUCCAUUAACAUUGGGCAAUUAUCAAAUUUAGUUUCCCUGGACCUGUCUAGAAAUUCUUGGAAAGGUGUCUUGUCUGAAACUCAUUUCCUGGGCCUCAACAAGUUACAAAGUUUUCUAGUAUCUUCUAUGAGAAUGUCUCUGGCUAUCAAUUUAAGCAAUGAGUGGAUGCCUCCUUUUAACCUUAACAACAUCGAAAUCACUAAUUGUGAUGUAGGUUCUACAUUCCCCUUGUGGCUCAAAACUCAAACCAGUCUUUCCUUCCUUGUCCUAAAGAAUGCAUCACUUUCCGGCAAAAUUCUUGAUUGGCUUUGGCGAUUGUCUCCACAACUUAUCUCACUGGAUCUUUCCAGUAACCAAUUUGGAGGAGAAGUCCCCAGUUCCCUAGAGUUUGGGUCAGGAGCUUGGAUUGAUUUGAGUUCCAAUUACUUGGAGGGUUCACUUCCUAUUUGGUCUAAUGUGAGGGACCUGAAGUUAGAUAGUAAUAUGUUUUCUGGUCCAAUUCCUGUGAAACUAUGCAGAGAAAUGUCAUUAUUAAGAAACUUACUACUGUCUGGUAACAUAUUAAGUGGCAGUAUCCCACCAUGCAUAAGUACUCUAAAGAAUCUGAUGACCCUUGAUCUCUCAAGCAACCAUUUUUCUGGGAAUCUCGGCAUUCCAUGGGAAGAGAUGAGUGUGAGUGUCAUUGACCUGUCAAAGAACAAUCUAUCUGGAGAAAUUCCUCCUUCAAUGUGUUCAUCUCCCAACUUGAAGGUGUUGAAAUUGUUCAGAAACCGUCUUGCUGGAGAACUCUCUACUUCCUUGAAGAACUGCACAGGCCUGAACAUCCUUGAUCUUGGGGAAAAUACGUUUUAUGGAAACAUACCAGAGUGGAUUGGGGACAACAUAUCAACACUAGAAGCUUUAGGCCUAAGAGGCAACAUGUUUAGUGGAAAUAUUCCUGAACAGCUUUGUCAUCUUCCUUAUCUCCAUAUCUUGGAUCUUGCUCAUAAUAAUUGUUAUGGAAA
rnacentral:misc_RNA from 1 species